AGAGCGAACGCUGGCGGCAGGCCUAAUACAUGCAAGUCGAACGCACCUUCGGGUGAGUGGCGGACGGGUGAGUAACACGUGGGAACGUGCCUUUUGGUUCGGAAUAAUCCGGGGAAACCUGGCCUAAUACCGGAUGUGCCCUUCGGGGGAAAGAUUUAUCGCCAUUAGAGCGGCCCGCGUCUGAUUAGCUUGUUGGUGGGGUAAUGGCCCACCAAGGCGACGAUCAGUAGCUGGUCUGAGAGGAUGAUCAGCCACACUGGGACUGAGACACGGCCCAGACUCCUACGGGAGGCAGCAGUAGGGAAUCUUGCGCAAUGGGGGAAACCCUGACGCAGCCAUGCCGCGUGAAUGAUGAAGGUCUUAGGAUUGUAAAAUUCUUUCAGCGGGGAAGAUAAUGACUGUACCCGCAGAAGAAGCUCCGGCUAACUUCGUGCCAGCAGCCGC
rnacentral:rRNA from 1 species